CCUACGGGAGGCAGCAGUGGGGAAUAUUGGACAAUGGGCGAAAGCCUGAUCCAGCAAUGCCGCGUGAGUGAAGAAGGCCUUCGGGUUGUAAAGCUCUUUUACCCGGGAAGAUAAUGACUGUACCGGGAGAAUAAGCUCCGGCUAACUCCGUGCCAGCAGCCGCGGUAAUACGGAGGGGGCUAGCGUUGUUCGGAAUUACUGGGCGUAAAGCGUACGUAGGCGGCUUGGUAAGUCAGAGGUGAAAGCCCACGACUCAAUCGUGGAACUGCCUUUGAGACUGCUUCGCUUGAAGAUGGGAGAGGUUAGUGGAAUUCCGAGUGUAGAGGUGAAAUUCGUAGAUAUUCGGAAGAACACCAGUGGCGAAGGCGGCUAACUGGACCAUUCUUGACGCUGAGGUACGAAAGCGUGGGGAGCAAACAGGAUUAGAUACCCUGGUAGUCCACGCCGUAAACGAUGAUAACUAGCUGUCGGGGCUCUUGGAGCUUCGGUGGCGCAGCUAACGCAUUAAGUUAUCCGCCUGGGGAGUACGGCCGCAAGGUUAAACUUAAGGAAUUGACGGCUGAGANGCGACGCGACACGAGGGAGUAG
rnacentral:rRNA from 1 species